rnacentral:snRNA from 1 species
GUGUGUCCACUUCGGCAGCACAUAUACUAAAAUCGGAACAGUAUGGAGAUUAGCAUGGUUCCUGCUAGAGAAUGACAGGAAAAUUCAUAAAGUGUUCUGUGUUUUC